GCAUGUUUGCCAACACUCUGGUGCCUAAUCUUUAUUUCGAGCUAUAUGCUGCUUAAUAAUGCUAUAUUGGGUUCCUAUUUUGGUGCAAACUAGAAAAAUUUAAGCUGACUACUCACCAUUGUACUCUACCAAUAUGGGUACAAUCGGUCCAUUUCUUUAGCUUUCAU
rnacentral:snoRNA from 1 species